rnacentral:lncRNA from 1 species
CUCUGUGUCUCUCUGGCUCGCGGGACCACAAUGCUCCGCGCCUGUUGUCAUUGGGAGGCGCCGUAAAGUAGGGGGUCGCUCGAAAAAUAAAAGGUCGACGCGGUGCAUGCUGGGUCUGGGAGGGGGCUAAGGAGGAGGGGCGGGGCGGACAAGGAAGAGGUCACGCGACUGCCCAAUAGGGCCUGGGCGUUAUCCUUCAACUCAACGUUUAAUGUUUUUGGUCUGUGAGUUCGUGGGUGCAUUAAAGUCAGAAAAGGCUUUUAUAGUUUCGGCUUCAUGCGGUAGCCUCCAUUUUCUUAAAUGUUUGUGGGUGUAUUUUCUUAGCUGUGUUGACCCCUGUGCCCACGAAUGGCCUCGUAUCGGGAGGUCGGCUCUGGGAGGAGUUAGCUAGGAAAGACUGGAAAGAAAGAACGCUAAUUCUAACAAUGAUCAACACUUAAGUGUCUUCUGUGUUUUUUCAAACAUCGCUAGUAGAUGUUGGGGGCAUGCGCCUUUAAAACGUUACUUUAAACCUAAAGCCAUUCAAGGAGUAUGGGUUAUUUUAAAAACAAUGUGUCAUGUGUCCCAGGCUGGCUUUGAAUUCACUCUUUUAACCAAGGAUGAGCUUGAAUUUACAAUCCUCUUGCCUCCCCCUCGGAAGUGCUGGGAUUACAGGCUCUCACAACAGAAGACUCCAUGCAGGCAGCUCCUUGGAGGGCAGUGCAUGAAGCAUGGAUGCAGUGGAGACUCCACAGUGUUGGCCAUGUCAGGAAGGUGUGUCUGUGAAGACUUGUGAAGACUCUUCUAAAGAUGACUAAGAGAUGGUGGCUUUCCUUGUAUGUGGGUGACACUGCCACAUGGGCUGGGUUCCAGACAGAGAAAAGGAAAAAGGAGAAAGCCCAUGACUGCAGGCAUUCUCUCCCUCCCUGCUGCUUUACCACCAUGCCAAGAGUGGUUCUGCUCUGCAGGCCUCCUGCAACAUAAUGGACUGAAACGUCCCUUCAACUUUGUGUGUGUUCUUUUUUUAAUCAUAGUGAGGCAAAAGUAAUAAGGAUACUGUGAGUAUAGCGCUCUGACAGGAAAUAUUUGGUAGGGAGAAGAGAUUUCUUCCAAAGGUUUGGGGAAGGAGAAAAAUAGUAACACGUGCUUCCAAGUGUUGCUUUGUUCAACUUUAUUUUUCUUUCAAGACAGAUUGGACUAGUAAGUCGAGUGAUAGUUGGUGAAAAUUCUAGAAAGCAACAAGAGGAUCAGGAAGGAGAUGGAGCAUCGAGACAUGGACGGUGAAGAAUAGGAUCAUGGGUAUUCGUUAGCUUUCUUCUUUCUCUGUUGACAAGGCAGCUCCAGUUACAUGUUAUUAGGGAGCCUGACUUUGUAGCAGAAUGGGAAAGAAGGGACUUAAGAGUGAGUCCAGGGUUAAGCAUGUGCUAUGGAAGGAUUGUUUGAUUCAGCCAUAGGCCCAUGAAGGAGAGACACUGCCUGCCACCCCAUCCCAGCCCAAGUUCCUUUACAGCUACUCAGGUGGAGCAGUAAGUGCCUAGAAUGAGAGUGUUGUGAAGUUACCCACUCCUUCCCCAGAGCUGACUCUAUGCCUCCUGCUCUGGUAAAGGUAAACUUUUAAAUGAAAUUCCCCUUAGAACAAAGUUUCAUCCAGUUUGAAGUCAAACCUGUUUUCUUAAGUCCUUCUCUUCUGGUCCAUCUUCCAUCUUCUCUUAUUUACUUUUUUUAAAAUAAAGAUUUAUUUAUUUGUU